UACAGAGGUCCCAAGCGUUGUUCGGAUUCACUGGGCGUAAAGGGUGCGUAGGUGGUGAGGUAAGUUCGAUGUGAAAUCUCCGGGCUUAACCCGGAAAUGGCAUUGAAUACUAUCCCGCUAGAGAGUUGGAAGGGGGACUGGAAUUCUCGGUGUAGCAGUGAAAUGCGUAGAUAUCGAGAGGAACACCGGUGGCGAAGGCGAGUCCCUGGACAACUUCUGACACUGAGGCACGAAAGCUAGGGGAGCAAACAGGAUUAGAUACCCUGGUAGUCCUAGCCCUAAACGGUGCAUAUUUGCUGUAAGCGGAAUCGACCCCGUUUGUGGCGUAGCUAACGCGAUAAAUAUGCCGCCUGGGGAGUACGGUCGCAAGAUUA
rnacentral:rRNA from 1 species